rnacentral:lncRNA from 1 species
GGCGCUGUGGAUGCUCAGCCAGGGGUGUGAGGUGAGGAGGAGCUCGAGGCAAGAGAGGUGAAAAGGUGCACGCACCCACACACAGAUGAGCAGUGUGUGAGAGCAGCAGAGGUCCUGGAGAAGGACUCCAUUCAGCCGAGCGGGAAGCGGAGCUUCCCCCAAGAUUUGGUGCUGCCUGAUCUUGAUCGACUCCUGAUGGAUCUUUUGUGUAGACUGUGGCUGCCGCCAAUUGCUGGAAAGAGAGAGACACCCUUGAGAACCUUCUCCCUCCGAUCGCUACACCAAGGCUAAAUCUCCUCUCUCGUGACCCCAUUAUCUCAAUGACAUGGUUAAACAUGGACACGAUAUACUUACGGUAUUUCCACCCCGACAUUCCCAGAAAACACAGUGUUCAAAAAUAAAAUUUCUACGCUGGCACUGCCUAGAGUAGAAGAGCUUUUUAUAGGCCGGACCCUUUGUCCGUCGCACUGCGUCUAUACUUGUCAACUGAAAUAAUUACUCCUGCAUUACGGACAGUUACACUGCACUUGAGCCGUCGCUGCCAUUGGGUGGAACAUGUACGGCUGCUCUUGUUCUUAGUGUGCUGUGCCAGCGAAGGUGCGUGGGGUUGCAUGCACUUACGGCCUAUGCACUGGACUUGCGGUCUCUCCCACUGCCCGUCUGCCAUGCAGCGCACCAGAGGCAGGUGGCGCUGUGUGAACCCAGGAUUGCACCGAUAGCGGAUCAUGGAGUUCACUUCAUAGAUUUCCUUCUGUUUCCCGAAGAUUCUAGCAUUCUUCACCUCCGGAGGGGGGCCACACAACACUACAGGGAAUCAGAGAUCAGAGAACAAGGAGGUUGCCCUGGAAGAGAUGAGAAAUGCUGA